rnacentral:rRNA from 1 species
UACGGAGGGUGCGAGCGUUGUCCGGAAUCAUUGGGCGUAAAGGGCGCGUAGGCGGGCUGACAAGUCUGGGGUGAAAUCCCGCGGCUCAACCGUGGAACUGCCUUAGAUACUGUCGGCCUCGAGGAAGGUAGGGGCAUGCGGAACUGUAGGUGGAGCGGUGAAAUGCGUUGAUAUCUACAGGAACUCCGGUGGCGAAAGCGGCGUGCUGGACCUUUUCUGACGCUGAGGCGCGAAAGCUAGGGGAGCAAACGGG